UACAGAGGUGGCUAGCGUUGUUCGGAAUUACUGGGCGUAAAGGGCGCGUAGGCGGUGUGUCAAGUCAGGCGUGAAAGCCCCGGGCUCAACCUGGGAACCGCGCUUGAGACUGGCACGCUCGAGUUCGGGAGAGGAUGGUGGAAUUCCCAGUGUAGAGGUGAAAUUCGUAGAUAUUGGGAAGAACACCGAUGGCGAAGGCAGCCAUCUGGACCGACACUGACGCUGAGGCGCGAAAGCGUGGGGAGCAAACAGG
rnacentral:rRNA from 1 species